CCUCCCCCUCCUUCCCUAAAGCCUCGGGGCACGAGUUGGUCAGCGGAUGGGGGAGGAGCGGAGCCCGGAAUCUAUUUCCUAGGCCGGAGGUGGGGGCGGGGGCGGGGUUGGAGAUUGGAAGGAACUGUGGUACGACCGGAGUGAAAUUUGGAAGGGGACGGCAGAGGAGGGGAGAUGGCGCUACAGAGGGAGGGAUGGAAAGAGGGGAGGGAGAGAACGGCUGGAGCAAGAAGUGAGGGAGAGAAGGGGUCUAGAAGAAGACAAAGGAAAUUUUUUAAAAGGGGGGGAUGAGAGGGGAAAGGGGCAUCGAGAGACACGGGGCAUGAGUGGGACCCCCCAGAACGGGGAUUUCUUUUUAAGGACUCUUCUUUGUGUCUCUCUUCCCACCCCCACUCCGGGGGCUCCUCACCUGCUCCUGCGGCCCCGGUGGGGGGCUGUGUGCGCCAAGAAGAUGCUUCUGACUCAAUGUUUCCUUUUGUGAUUGCCAGCUCAGUGCUCUAUUCUGCAUGCAGUAGUCACUGCAUGGACUUUUGAAAGUGGUCACAUGAAGUUCCCUUCAUGUCAGGGAGGUCAUCUGGGCUUUUGAAGGUUAACCCAGAAGAUCAUGAGACACUCUGGCCCCAUCAAAACGGACAUCUUCCAGUGUCCAUGGGCAAAUCAGCCGGGUCUCGCGAGGGGGAAAAAUAUUCUGGCCACAAGACGUGAAAUUAAAGAGAUGCAAAGGAUGGAGGGAAGAUCUCACCGCUGGCCCUCUCAUCCACCCCCACCCCCGUUCACUGAAGAAAUCAUGGAUCCUAGGAAUAUGACAACAAGAUUUAAAGAAAUGAGAACCCCUGGGAAUAAAAGCUUGCUCCCUUCUUCCCCA